UACGAAGGGGGCUAGCGUUGCUCGGAUUGACUGGGCGUAAAGGGCGCGUAGGCGGUUCGUACAGUCAGACGUGAAAUUCCUGGGCUCAACCUGGGGGCUGCGUUUGAUACGUGCGGACUUGAGUGCGGAAGAGGGUCGUGGAAUUCCCAGUGUAGAGGUGAAAUUCGUAGAUAUUGGGAAGAACACCAGUGGCGAAGGCGACUUACUGGACGAUUGUUGACGCUGAGGUGCGAAAGCGUGGGGAGCAAACAGG
rnacentral:rRNA from 1 species